UACGUAGGGGGCUAGCGUUGUCCGGAUUUAUUGGGCGUAAAGAGCGUGUAGGCGGCCAGGUAGGUCUGCUGUGAAAACUCGAGGCUCAACCUCGAGACGUCGGCGGAAACCAUCUGGCUAGAGUCCGGAAGAGGAGAGUGGAAGUUCCCUGGUGUAGCGGUGAAAUGCGCAGAUAUCAGGAAGAACACCCGUGGCGAAGGCGGCUCUCUGGGACGUACUGCGCUGAGACGCGAAAGCGUGGGGAGCGAACAGG
rnacentral:rRNA from 1 species